UCCGGUUUGGCACCGGCAGUCUCCCAUGAGUCCCCAACCCGCCGAAGCGGUUGCUGGCAACAUGGAACGAGGGUUGCGCUCGUUGCGGGACUUAACCCAACAUCUCACGACACGAGCUGACGACAGCCAUGCAGCACCUGUGUUCAGGCUCUCUUUCGAGCACCCUCAGAUCUCUCCAAGGUUCCUGACAUGUCAAGGGUAGGUAAGGUUUUUCGCGUUGCAUCGAAUUAAUCCACAUCAUCCACCGCUUGUGCGGGUCCCCGUCAAUUCCUUUGAGUUUUAAUCUUGCGACCGUACUCCCCAGGCGGUCUACUUCACGCGUUAGCUGCGUUACCAAGUCAAUUAAGACCCGACAACUAGUAGACAUCGUUUAGGGCGUGGACUAC
rnacentral:misc_RNA from 1 species